AACGAACGCUGGCGGCAGGCCUAACACAUGCAAGUCGAACGCUCUCUUCGGAGGGAGUGGCAGACGGGUGAGUAACGCGUGGGAAUCUACCCAGCUCUACGGAAUAACGCAUGGAAACGUGUGCUAAUACCGUAUACGCCCCAUGGGGAAGGAUUAUCGGAGUUGGAUGAGCCCGCGUCUGAUUAGCUAGUUGGUGAGGUAAUGGCUCACCAAGGCGACGAUCAGUAGCUGGUCUGAGAGGAUGACCAGCCACACUGGGACUGAGACACGGCCCAGACUCCUACGGGAGGCAGCAGUGGGGAAUAUUGGACAAUGGGCGCAAGCCUGAUCCAGCCACGCCGCGUGAGUGAUGACGGCCUUAGGGUUGUAAAGCUCUUUCACCGGUGAAGAUAAUGACGGUAACCGGAGAAGAAGCCCCGGCUAACUUCGUG
rnacentral:rRNA from 1 species